rnacentral:rRNA from 1 species
UACAGAGGGUGCGAGCGUUAAUCGGAUUUACUGGGCGUAAAGGGCGCGUAGGUGGUUAUGUAAGUGAGAUGUGAAAUCCCCGGGCUUAACCUGGGAACUGCGUCUGGGACUGAGUGGCUAGAGUUCGGGAGAGGAGAGUGGAAUUCCCAGUGUAGAGGUGAAAUUCGUAGAUAUUGGGAAGAACACCGGUGGCGAAGGCGGCUCUCUGGACCGAGACUGACGCUGAAGCGCGAAAGCGUGGGGAGCAAACAGG